rnacentral:rRNA from 1 species
GUGGGGAAUAUUGGACAAUGGGCGAAAGCCUGAUCCAGCCAUGCCGCGUGUGUGAAGAAGGUCUUCGGAUUGUAAAGCACUUUAAGUUGGGAGGAAGGGCAGUAAGUUAAUACCUUGCUGUUUUGACGUUACCGACAGAAUAAGCACCGGCUAACUUCGUGCCAGCAGCCGCGGUAAUACGAAGGGUGCAAGCGUUAAUCGGAAUUACUGGGCGUAAAGCGCGCGUAGGUGGUUUUGUAAGUUGGAGGUGAAAUCCCCGGGCUCAACCUGGGAACUGCCUCCAAAACUGCAUGACUAGAGUACGGUAGAGGGUAGUGGAAUGUCCUGUGUAGCGGUGAAAUGCGUAGAUAUAGGAAGGAACACCAGUGGCGAAGGCGACUACCUGGACUGAUACUGACACUGAGGUGCGAAAGCGUGGGGAGCAAACAGGAUUAGAAACCCUAGUAGUCC